rnacentral:rRNA from 1 species
UGGGUGAUCUGCCCUGCACUUCGGGAUAAGCCUGGGAAACUGGGUCUAAUACCGGAUAGGACCAUCGUUUAGUGUCGGUGGUGGAAAGUUUUUCGGUGCAGGAUGAGCUCGCGGCCUAUCAGCUUGUUGGUGGGGUAAUGGCCUACCAAGGCGUCGACGGGUAGCCGGCCUGAGAGGGUGGACGGCCACAUUGGGACUGAGACACGGCCCAGACUCCUACGGGAGGCAGCAGUGGGGAAUAUUGCACAAUGGGCGCAAGCCUGAUGCAGCGACGCCGCGUGGGGGAUGAAGGCCUUCGGGUUGUAAACUCCUUUCAACCAUGACGAAGCAUUAUGUGACGGUAGUGGUAGAAGAAGCACCGGCUAACUACGUGCCAGCAGCCGCGGUAAUACGUAGGGUGCGAGCGUUGUCCGGAAUUACUGGGCGUAAAGAGCUCGUAGGUGGUUUGUCGCGUCGUCUGUGAAAUUCCGGGGCUUAACUCCGGGCGUGCAGGCGAUACGGGCAUAACUUGAGUGCUGUAGGGGAGACUGGAAUUCCUGGUGUAGCGGUGAAAUGCGCAGAUAUCAGGAGGAACACCGAUGGCGAAGGCAGGUCUCUGGGCAGUAACUGACGCUGAGGAGCGAAAGCAUGGGUAGCGAACAGGAUUAGAUACCCUGGUAGUCCAUGCCGUAAACGGUGGGCGCUAGGUGU